GAGGGGAGGAGGGGAGUUACAUUUUUAAUCCCGUUCCCCUCUCCCCACCCCGCCCCGCCUUUCUGCCUGAGCAUUACAGAUUCAAUACAGAAAUACAUGCGCUUCCCACCCGCCGCUCCGGUUCGGUAACUGGGCGCCCAGCUCAGACACCUUGGAGCGAAUGUACUGAAUCUAGCUCCGAUUUCCUUUCCAUUGCCUUCGCUUCCACACUGCCCCCCCCCCCCCCCCCCAUGAAGCGGAUCAGCCGUGAAAUCGAGCAGCCUGCGUUCUCUAGUCAAUUCAACGGGGAAAGAGACAGAGCUGAAAAGGAAGAGGAGACAGCGAGGAGCCACACUUACUUGUGCUUCCCCAUGGGCUUCCCGGGGCUCAGCUGCGGGCUAGAUCCUGAGCAUCACUGUACCAGGCAUAGGCUGAGCCAGCCAAGGAAAAAUGACAGUGAGCCAAACAAUGCAUCCUUCUAAUUCUCUGUGGAAAAGUGGGAAGCAGCCUGGAAACACCAGCAGUCAGGGGGACAAAACACCGGUGUGAAUGUUCUGGGAGAGAAGCACCAAGACACAGAAUGGGGACAAACAGAUGGAGGGUUGGGUGAGCCACCUACAGGCUAAUUUCACAAGUGGCUGACACCAAACAGUGACCGGUUGUGCCUUGCAUGGUUUUUAAUUAGCACCUGCAUGGCCUCAUCAGCUGAAUAAUUGUCUCCAUUCAUGGGUCAACAACCCAACAGCCUCUGACCUCCCAUUCCCACCUGAGUAAAAGGUUUUGUGUGCACGUAUGGUGGAAGAGAGAGUCUCAGUGCAGUUAAUUUAUUUGCCUGGGCCAUCGUGUUCUUCCUCAGACCAAUGCUGUGCCGGGACUAGCAAAAUGCUCCUCCAGUCCAGGGGCCCCACACAUUUUUUCAAUACUCCUCAUUCCUGUCCUGAAGCUGCCUGUGCCAUUCUAGCCCUGGGCCCUCCAACAGCUCAGUCAAUGCACCUCAUUCCUAUCCCGUUGCACCCCCAGCUGUUCCACUCCAGCUCAGGUAGUCAUGUGUUCUGCAAAUCUGCAUUGACACACAGCAGCCUUUGGUGUUGCUGCCUGGGGUUUUCACACACCCUAGUCAAUGCAUCUUCUUGCUGGCCUUCACCCACCAGCCCACUCUUAGGCUCCCGUGCAGCUCUGCCAAUACUUCUCAUACUUGGACCUUUGCUAUUCUGGUUUGAGGCUGCCACAUAACUCUACCAAUGCCCUUCAAUCCUGACCAGCUGCAGCUCCCUGCUGCUCUCACAUAGCUGGGCCUAUGCUCCUUGUUCCUGACCUGCAACACUCCCUGGUAUUCCAGGUCUGGAGCAUCCCUGAAGCUCUGCUGUUGCUCCUCAGUCUUGUCCUGCAGCACUGGCCUCCACUGCGCUCUGAUAUUCCAUUCCUGGGUCACUCUGUUCCCUAGGCAGAUGCUGACCAUGGCGGUGAGCUAUGAUACAUGGUAGUUUUCUGAUGUGGACAGCUGUUCUCUGUACCAGAGUAGAAGGUGAACACCCCCUUUUGAGAGCUCUCCGGCUUGACCUGACAAGGCAGAAAAGAACAGAAAAUAUCAUUUCUCUCCCUUGCCGCUCAUGCACUCAUCCUCCCAUGCUUUUCUCUUGUGCCCCACAUCAGGGCCACUCUGUCUCUCACCUUCCCCUGACCUCUCUUCCUGCCCGUGUCCUACUUUACUGUGCUCUCUACCUUCCCCUCCCUCUUGACCCCUUUAUUGCUCCCAGGAAUUUAAAUAUCCUUGCUGGUGCUGUCAAUUUGUUCUCUCCCGUCCAUCAGUCUCCUCUGUUCAGAGAUUGAGAGGAGGGGCUGUUUCCAGUGAUGCCAAGACAGAGAGCCAGAAGCUACCAGAUGUAGCCUAAGGGCAAUGAGAGCCAGUGUAGAAAGUCUAAUAAAAUAUGACUCUGCCCUGCAAUGUACACGUAUAGUUUUGCAUAUAAAAAAUCACUGUCUUAGUGCCAUUAACUUUCUUGGGGGUUGAAGGUGCUCAGGAUUUCACUCUAAGUUUGGGAAUUUGUGAGAGUCUGCGGGAGGAUGUGAACUGAUGAUCCAAAAGAAUAGAGAUUUUCUGUAUGACUCAGAUGGUGAGCCUGGGUCAAGGAAGUGCAACAGAUUUGAGUGUCCACAUCAGCUCUACAGUGGGAGGUGAGGGAGCUGAGAGCCAGGUGUAUUAGUAUUUAUGGUUUGUUUCUGGUAGCAUUCAC